AGUUUUUAGCAACAAGUGGCCUUAUUACAGGUAGGCUUAGACAUAAUGCUUUGGAAUGUUUCCCUUCAGUAACAAAUGGGCUAGGCCCAGUGUUUUCGUAACCCUGUUCACUUAGGAAAGAGUUGCAGCUUUCAUCAAAGAAACUGAUGAUCUAAAAGUUGAGACUGCAUGGAUGAGCUAGGCUGCUUUGUCUGGACGAAAAUGAACCCUCCAAGGCUCCAACAGCCUCAUCACACAGAAACUCGAGGAACCGGAAGCAGGAAGGAGGACCGACAGAUGAACGGAUGACCUUCUUGCUGGGCUUCCAAUUACUGAUUCUUGAAAGAAAUGAAGACCACUGACUGAUGAGGGAAUUGUCUUACUGAGAUGAGGAUGAGCCUGCCUCAAGCCAUCGUAAGCUGGGAGGACCGACGAUGGACUGACACCACCUGCUGGCCUGACCAUUACUGAUUCUUGAGGACAUGAGGACCACCAAGCUUGGACGAGACUGGACAAUGACGAAGCUGCUCUACUGGACAAGGAUGCCCUCAUCGGAAACUUGA